rnacentral:misc_RNA from 1 species
UGUGAACGCCCUCACGGGCUUAUACUAUUCCAAACCUCUGUGAACCGUGCCCUUCGGGCUAUUUAUACAACAUGGUGUAAUGAACGUCAUAUAUCAUAACAAAACA